rnacentral:rRNA from 1 species
AUGGAGUGGAGCUUCAACAAUUCCGGCAUUGAUGUAGAUGAUGAACUUUGGGUGGUUAAUGUGCUGCCAAUCAAUGGUCUAGGGGAUAAUGUGCAAAGGAUAAUUGGACUGUCUGAUAUCACUUUUCUCAAGUUAGUGAGCUUGGUGUGCUCUGUUGGCUAUAACAAAAAGGAUACCAUCUAUUAUCAGUGCGGAGGAUUAAUUGGCAUGGAGCUAUUGGACAGUAAUAAGAAGGUGACAACAAUGGUAAAUCGGUACAAGAGUGUUAAGAUGUUGAAUCUGUCAGUUUUGAGGAGACCCGCACCAACCCGCCGCAAGAAAAGAACGCGGAAGCAAGCAUUGUUGAUAGAGCAGCCAACCAAAGAGGGCAUUAACGAAGUCAUAGUUGAGCAAGAAAAUGUGUUGAGGAAAAAGUUGAGGCGCAGAGGAAGAAGAAGAGAUGGCAGUGGCAGAGGAAAAAGAAGAGAUGGCAGUGGCUGA